rnacentral:rRNA from 1 species
GACGAACGCUGGCGGCGUGCUUAACACAUGCAAGUCGAACGGAAAGGCCCUGCUUUUGUGGGGUGCUCGAGUGGCGAACGGGUGAGUAACACGUGAGUAACCUGCCCUUGACUUUGGGAUAACUUCAGGAAACUGGGGCUAAUACCGGAUAGGAGCUCCUGCUGCAUGGUGGGGGUUGGAAAGUUUCGGCGGUUGGGGAUGGACUCGCGGCUUAUCAGCUUGUUGGUGGGGUAGUGGCUUACCAAGGCUUUGACGGGUAGCCGGCCUGAGAGGGUGACCGGCCACAUUGGGACUGAGAUACUGCCCAGACUCCUACGGGAGGCAGCAGUGGGGAAUAUUGCACAAUGGGCGGAAGCCUGAUGCAGCAACGCCGCGUGCGGGAUGACGGCCUUCGGGUUGUAAACCGCUUUCGCCUGUGACGAAGCGUGAGUGACGGUAAUGGGUAAAGAAGCACCGGCUAAUUACGUG